rnacentral:rRNA from 1 species
CCCUUAGAUGUUCUGGGCCGCACGCGCGCUACACUGACGAAUGCAACGAGCUUAUAACCUUGGCCGAAAGGUCUGGGUAAUCUCCAAAUUUCGUCGUGAUGGGGAUAGAUUAUUGCAAUUAUUAAUCUUCAACGAGGAAUGCCUAGUAAGCGCAAGUCAUCAGCUUGCGUUGAUUACGUCCCUGCCCUUUGUACACCCCGCCCGUCGCUCCUACCGAUUGAAUGGUCCGGUGAAGCGUUCGGACCGUGGCCUUUGGACGGUUCGCCGUCUGUUGGCUGCGGGAAGUUCGUUAAACCUUAUCAUUUAGAGGAAGGAGAAGUCGUAACA